rnacentral:rRNA from 1 species
AGAGUUUGAUCCUGGCUCAGGACGAACGCUGGCGGCGCGCUUAACACAUGCAAGUCGAGCGAGAACCAGUCCUUCGGGGCUGGGGACAGCGGCGAACGGGUGAGUAACACGUGAGUAAUCCACCCUCGGUACCGGAAUAGCCCGGGGAAACUCGGAUUAAUGCCGGAUGGCCCAUUUGCUCUUCGGAGCUGAAUGGAAAAGAUAGCUUCGGCCUUCGACCGGGGACGAGCUCGCGGCGGAUUAGCUUGUUGGCGGGGUAACGGCCCACCAAGGCGACGAUCCGUAGCUGGUCUGAGAGGACGAUCAGCCACACUGGGACUGAGACACGGCCCAGACUCCUACGGGAGGCAGCAGUGGGGAAUCUUGCGCAAUGGGCGAAAGCCUGACGCAGCGACGCCGCGUGAGGGAUGACGGCCUUCGGGUUGUAAACCUCUUUCAGCAGGGACGAAGCGCAAGUGACGGUACCUGCAGAAGAAGCACCGGCUAACUACGUGCCAGCAGCCGCGGUAAUAC